AGAGUUUGAUCCUGGCUCAGGAUGAACGCUGGCGGCGUGCUUAACACAUGCAAGUCGAACGAAGCACCUUGGACAGAUUCUUCGGAUGAAGUCCUUAGUGACUGAGUGGCGGACGGGUGAGUAACGCGUGGGUAACCUGCCUCAUACAGGGGGAUAACAGUUAGAAAUGACUGCUAAUACCGCAUAAGACCACAGCACCGCAUGGUGCAGGGGUAAAAACUCCGGUGGUAUGAGAUGGACCCGCGUCUGAUUAGCUGGUUGGUGAGGUAACGGCUCACCAAGGCGACGAUCAGUAGCCGGCUUGAGAGAGUGAACGGCCACAUUGGGACUGAGGCACGGCCCAAACUCCUACGGGAGGCAGCAGUGGGGAAUAUUGCACAAUGGGGGAAACCCUGAUGCAGCGACGCCGCGUGAGCGAAGAAGUAUUUCGGUAUGUAAAGCUCUAUCAGCAGGGAAGAUAAUGACGGUACCUGACUAAGAAGC
rnacentral:rRNA from 1 species